rnacentral:rRNA from 1 species
GACGAACGCUGGCGGCGUGCCUAAUACAUGCAAGUAGAACGCUGAAGAGAGGAGCUUACUCUUCUUGGAUGAGUUGCGAACGGGUGAGUAACGCGUAGGUAACCUGCCUUGUAGCGGGGGAUAACUAUUGGAAACGAUAGCUAAUACCGCAUAACAAUGGAUGACACAUGUCAUUUAUUUGAAAGGGGCAAUUGCUCCACUACAAGAUGGACCUGCGUUGUAUUAGCUAGUAGGUGAGGUAAUGGCUCACCUAGGCGACGAUACAUAGCCGACCUGAGAGGGUGAUCGGCCACACUGGGACUGAGACACGGCCCAGACUCCUACGGGAGGCAGCAGUAGGGAAUCUUCGGCAAUGGGGGCAACACUGACCGAGCAACGCCGCGUGAGGGAAGAAGGUUUUCGGAUCGUAAAGCUCUGUUGUAAGUCAAGAACGGGUGUGAGAGUGGAAAGUUCACACUGUGACGGUAGCUUACCAGAAAGGGACGGCUAACUACGUG